GACGAACGCUGGCGGCGUGCUUAACACAUGCAAGUCGAACGGUGAAGCGCCUUCCUUUUUGGUGGGUGUGGAUGAGUGGCGAACGGGUGAGUAACACGUGAGUAACCUGCCCCCUUCUUCUGGAUAACCGCAUGAAAGUGUUGCUAAUACGGGAUAUUCUGGGUCUGUCGCAUGAUGGGUCUGGGAAAGAUAUUGUUUCGGUGGGGGAUGGGCUCGCGGCCUAUCAGCUUGUUGGUGGGGUGAUGGCCUACCAAGGCGGUGACGGGUAGCCGGCCAGAGAGGGUGGACGGGCACACUGGGAAUGAGACACGGCCCAGACGCGUACGGGAGGCAGCAGUGGGGAAUAUGGGAGAAUGGGGGGAAGCCUGAUGCAGCGUCGCCGCGUGAGGGAUGGAGGCCUUCGGGUUGUGAACCUCUUUCGCCAGUGAAGCAGGCCUGCCUCGUUUGUGGGUGGGUUGACGGUAGCUGGAUAAGAAGCGCCGGCUAACUACGUG
rnacentral:rRNA from 1 species